AAGAGGGGGAGUGCUUUUUCUUACAACACAAAUGAUGAGAGACUAUUACUGUUGUUGUCUUGUACCUUCAGGUUUUCAGAGGAGUCGGUGAUUUCUAACAUUACAAGAAAGAAAGAAGGCUGGAGUGGAAGUAACUACCACUGACAUCCACCAGGCUGAUAGACCACAGAUGCAGCUAUGGCUCCAGAUAUAGAUUUACUCCCUACCCUCUUCCACCCUGCUCUGGACCCCCAGAACCUCACCUGUGUGGACCACAUCAACAUCCUUCCUGGCCCUCUGGUUUCCCUUUUGGUUCAGCCAAUGUGGAACACCAGAAGGAGACUGAUGUGUAUGUGAUCUUCAAGAAUAAGCAAGCUGCCUUUUCUCUGGAGUAGGGAGGGGAUCAGCCAGGAUUGAGACCUAGUUUGCUGUUUGCAGAGACAUGCCUGAGGGAAGGUACGGACCCUUCCUGUUCAUCGGUGAAGCUGAGUAGGCCCAGAUUCCUUUGCUGUAGCAGGACACACCUUCUGUGGACUCAGAUGAGAGCCAGUCGGGGACUGGACAGAUUUGUAUGCAAAGGAUCCUUCCAUGGUCUGAGCCCUAAGGCCUGUGCUAGUCCCUCUGGGUGAAGAGGAUUUAGAUAUUACCCCAGGAAAGAGCUGCAGGCACAUGUCCUUGUUGAAUCUUCUCUGUGCUCUUCUGUCUUCAUUAAGCAAGGGUGAAAAUGUACAUUUGUGUAGUCAUUUUCCUCUUACUGGAUUCUCAGCAGGGCUGCCAUGUGCUCCCCAGUAAAUCUUCAAAAAGCAAAUAUAUGUGGCCUUCCUCCAGAAGUUGCCUCUCCACAAUGGAUAGGAAAGUUAGAAGGUAAAAGAGGGUAAAGUCUCAGACUUACACAAGGCCCUUUUCAUCUUCUAUCCUCUUCAGUAUCUUCCUGUCACUUGUCUAGUCUCUGGCAAGUUAUGAGGCAACAGCAAAACCUAUGGAUUCUCUAAGAACUGACCCGUGUGAGGGCGCCUGGGUGGCUCAGUCGGUUAAGCGUCUGACUUCUGCUCAAGUCAU